rnacentral:rRNA from 1 species
GAUGAACGCUGGCGGCGUGCCUAAUACAUGCAAGUCGAGCGAACAGACGAGGAGCUUGCUCCUCUGGCGUUAGCGGCGGACGGGUGAGUAACACGUGGAUAACCUACCUAUAAGACUGGGAUAACUUCGGGCAACCGGAGCUAAUACCGGAUAAUAUAUUGAACCGCAUGGUUCAAUAGUGAAAGACGGUUUUGAUGUCACUUAUAGAUGGAUCCGCGCCGCAUUAGCUAGUUGGUAAGGUAACGGCUUACCAAGGCAACGAUGCGUAGCCGACCUGAGAGGGUGAUCGGCCACACUGGAACGGAGACACGGUCCAGACUCCUACGGGAGGCAGCAGUAGGGAAUCUUCCGCAAUGGGCGAAAGCCUGACGGAGCAACGCCUCGUGAGUGAUGAAGGUCUUCGGAUCGUAAAACUCUGUUAUUAGGGAAGAACAAAUGUGUAAGUAACUAUGCACGUCUUGACGGUACCUAAUCAGAAAGCCAGGGCUAACUACGUG